UACGGAGGGUGCAAGCGUUAAUCGGAAUUACUGGGCGUAAAGCGUACGUAGGCGGCUUGUUAAGCAAGAUGUGAAAUCCCCGGGCUCAACCUGGGAAUGGCAUUUUGAACUGGCAGGCUCGAGUUCUGAAGAGGGUGGUAGAAUUUCCAGUGUAGCGGUGAAAUGCGUAGAUAUUGGAAGGAAUACCGGUGGCGAAGGCGGCCACCUGGUCAGAAACUGACGCUGAGGCACGAAAGCUAGGGGAGCAAACAGG
rnacentral:rRNA from 1 species